rnacentral:rRNA from 1 species
GCAGCAGUCGAGAAUCAUUCACAAUGGGGGAAACCCUGAUGGUGCGACGCCGCGUGGGGGAGGAAGGUCUUCGGAUUGUAAACCCCUGUCAUGUGGGAGCAAAUUAAAAAGAUAGUACCACAAGAGGAAGAGACGGCUAACUCUGUGCCAGCAGCCGCGGUAAUACAGAGGUCUCAAGCGUUGUUCGGAAUCACUGGGCGUAAAGCGUGCGUAGGCUGUUUCGUAAGUCGUGUGUGAAAGGCGCGGGCUCAACCCGCGGACGGCACAUGAUACUGCGAGACUAGAGUAAUGGAGGGGGAACCGGAAUUCUCGGUGUAGCAGUGAAAUGCGUAGAUAUCAAGAAGAAGACUCGUGGCGAAGGCGGGUUCCUGGACAUUUACUGACGCUGAGGUACGAAGGCUAGGGUAGCGAAAGGGAUUAGAUACCCU